UUUAGUAAAUUUCAAUAUGUUUUUUGAAAUUGAAGAUUAGAGAUCUACCUCUAAAACUAAAAAAAUUUAAAUCCUAUAGUGAACUAGUACUGCGAAGGAAAGGUGAAAAGAUUUUUAAAUAUUUUAAAAGAUUCUGAAAUUUAAUGCUAUACACAGUUAAAGUAAUAUAUUUUAACGUACCUUUUGCAUAAUGGGCUAGCAAGUUUAUAUAAUUAGCGAGUAAUUUAUUAAAAUAAAAAUACGAAUUGAAAAAAAAAAUAGUUAAUUAUAUAAGACCCGAAGCUAAGUGAUCUAAUUAUGAUUAGGUUAAGGGUAAUAUUUACCUAAGGACCGAACUCUUAAAUGUUGCAAAAUUUUGGGAUAAAUUGUAAUUAGGGGUGAAAGGCUUAUCAAACUUAGUUAUAGCUGGUUUUCCACGAAACCUAUUUAAGUAGGGUGAUAUUUUUAUUUUAAACAGGUUUAAAUAACUAUAUUAAUAGCUAAUUUGUUAAUUAUAAAAUUAGGAUAUAAUAAUUGUUUAAAUAUUAAAUAUUAAUCAGACUAUUAGCGCUAAGGUUAAUAGUCAAGAGAGAAACAGCUCAGAUUAAACAAUAAGGUCUACAAAAGUAAAUAAAUACCGAGAUUAUUUUUAAUAAGACCUAUAAGAUGUAGGCUUGGAAGCAGCCUUCAUUUUAAGAAAGCGUAAAAGCUCAAUAUAGAAAAUAUUAUUGUUUUUAAAUAAUUGAUGUAAAAAUAAUCGUAAAUGGAUAGAAUAAUUUUUACUUACCGAAUUGAUAAAUCGAAAGAUGGUAGUGGAACAUUUUGUAUAAAUAAAUAAAAUUGUGAAGUUUUAUAUUUUAUCAAUAAAGAUAAUGCUAGCAUGAGUAGUAGACAUAAUGUGAGAAUCAUUAUCGCUUAAUGUACAAGGGUUACUAAAUUUGAUAAUCUUAUUUAGUGUAAGUCGAUUUCUGUGAUUUAAAUGUUUAAUUUUAUCUAUGAAUAUAAAAUAUAAAAUACAUAAUAAUUUAUUUUAUGUACUAUAUUAAAUUUAUUAUAGUAUAUAGUUUAAAAAAUAAAUUAGUUGCUGGAAAUGUUUAUAUUUUUUAAAUCGUACCAACUCUAACACAAGUGUACAAGUAGAAUAUAUAAAAGCGAAAGAGUAAAAGAUAUUAAAGGAACUAGGCAAAAUUACCCUGUAACUUCGGGAGAAAGGGGGCUUUAAGCAACAAAAAAGAGAGGGUAGCGACUGUUUAAUAAAAACAUAAGAUUCUGCUAAAUUUAAAUAUGACAUAUUGAAUCUGACAUCUGCCCGGUGCUGCAAGGUGAACAAGUUCUGGUUUUUAGCUAGAACCUUAAACCCCAGUAAACGGCGGCCGUAACCCUGACGGUCCUAAGGUAGCAAAAUUCCUUGGCGGGUAAGUUCCGUCCUGCAUGAACGAUGUAACGACUGCCCUGCUGUCUCUAAUAUCUGCUCUACGAAAUUGAAAUUUCCGUGAAGAUGCGGCAAUAUUACAACUAGACGGGAAGACCCUAUGCACCUUUACUAUUAUCUAUUAAUAUUUUUUUCUUAUAUUUAACUAGACAAGUAGGAGGUAUUUACUAAAAAUGGAAAACUACUUAAAUAUUUUUUAAAAAUAAAAAUAAAUUUAAAAUAAUUAUAUUAUUUAUUUUAUAGAAAGAUAGUUUGACUGGGGCGGUCUCCUCCUAAAUAGUAACGGAGGAGUAUAAUGACUUGGGGUAUUUAAUUUUAAUUUAAAUCAAUAUUGGAAUGAAUUUACUAAGUUUGAUUAAAGUACAUACAAGUAUUUUAAGGAUAUUUUUGUCUGUCAUAUUGACCCGAUAUAAUUUUGUAGAAAAUAUAUCGAUCAACGGAUAAAAGGUACGCUAGGGAUAACAGGCUUAUGGGUUUUGAGAGUUCUUAUUAAUAAACCCGUUUGGCACCUCGAUGUCGGCUCAUCACAUCCUGGCGGUGAAUAAUCUACCAAGGGUCCGGCUGUUCGCCGGUUAAAGUGGUACGUGAGCUGGGUUUAAAACGUCGUGAGACAGUUUGGUCCCUAUCUGUUGUAAUUAAAAGAAAACAAACGAAAAUUAACUUUAGUACGAGAGGACUAGGAAAAUUUAAUCACUGGUAUACAAAUUACUCUAAUAAAAUAAGGGUAUGGUUUGAACGCUACAUUAAACGUGAUAAUUACUGAAUUAUAUAUAAGUAAGAAUCUCAUUUGUAUUGUUUUCUAAUAAAUUUUUAUAAGACAAAUUAAUUUAAGUAAAUUAUUUAAGUGAAGCUCUCAUUAGUGAAUAAAWUUUUACUUAUAAUUUAAUAUUAACUACAGUUUGCUUUUUUUU
rnacentral:rRNA from 1 species